rnacentral:rRNA from 1 species
GACGUAGGGCGCGAGCGUUGUCCGGAUUUAUUGGGCGUAAAGAGCUCGUAGGCGGCUUGUCGCGUCGUUCGUGAAAACCUGCAGCUCAACUGCAGCUUGCGGUCGAUACGGGCAGGCUAGAGUUCGGUAGGGGAGACUGGAAUUCCUGGUGUGAGCGGUGAAAUGCGCAGAUAUCAGGAGGAACACCGGUGGCGAAGGCGGCCUCUGGACAGUGACUGACGCUGAGACGCGAAAGCGUGGGGAGCAAACAGG